UACAGAGGUGCCAAGCGUUAGGCGGAAUCACUGGGCUUAAAGCGCGUGUAGGCGGCUUGGUAAGUCUGCUCUGAAAGCCCGGGGGCUCAACCCCGGGAGGCGGGUGGAUACUGUCAAGCUCGAGUCCGGAAGGAGGAGUGUGGAAUUCCUGGUGUAGCGGUGAAAUGCGCAGAUAUCAGGAGGAACACCAAUGGCGAAGGCAGCACUCUGGGGACGUGACUGACGCUGAGGAGCGAAAGCGUGGGGAGCGAACAGGAUUGAG
rnacentral:rRNA from 1 species